rnacentral:rRNA from 1 species
AUCCUCAACCAUAAGUCUUCAAAAACACUGCAUCCUGUCUGAUCUGUGUAUUUAACCAGAGUACUGCUUAGAUAGUACCUUAGUAGGGAACUAUGCAGGAAUCCUGAGUGUUAUGGUUU